rnacentral:rRNA from 1 species
AUUGAACGCUGGCGGCAGGCCUAACACAUGCAAGUCGAACGGUAACAGGAAGCAGCUUGCUGCUUCGCUGACGAGUGGCGGACGGGUGAGUAAUGUCUGGGAAGCUGCCUGAUGGAGGGGGAUAACUACUGGAAACGGUAGCUAAUACCGCAUAAUGUCGCAAGACCAAAGAGGGGGACCUUCGGGCCUCUUGCCAUCGGAUGUGCCCAGAUGGGAUUAGCUUGUUGGUGGGGUAACGGCUCACCAAGGCGACGAUCCCUAGCUGGUCUGAGAGGAUGACCAGCCACACUGGGACCGAGACACGGUCCAGACUCCUACGGGAGGCAGCAGUGGGGAAUAUUGCACAAUGGGCGCAAGCCUGAUGCAGCCAUGCCGCGUGUAUGAAGAAGGCCUUCGGGUUGUAAAGUACUUUCAGCGGGGAGGAAGGGAGUAAAGUUAAUACCUUUGCUCAUUGACGUUACCCGCAGAAGAAGCACCGGCUAACUCCGUG